rnacentral:lncRNA from 1 species
AUAGUCACAAAUAUUGGCAUACUGUACAAUUAGCAUCUUUUGAUGUUCGGUUGUGGUUUAUCCUUGGGUUGUUAUUUAAUUGAAUAAUGACAUAUCUCUAUUAAUCAAGAAAAAAAGUGUACACAGAUUUCACUGAACAUGUGACUAAGGAGUGAUCAGAUUAACAGAAGAAUCUCAAUUUAUACAUACAAUAACAUAUCGUAUAGCUGGUUAUUGUCAGUAGAACAAAAUUGCCAAAUUAUAUUCUGCCAAUUUAAAAGUUCACAUGCAAAGGUAUUGAUAAAAGUUUGUUGAUAAUAACCUCCAUAAUAUUUUAUUAAAUUGAGAAUGGAAAUGGGGAAUGUGUCUGAGAGACAACAACCCGACCAUACAGCAGAUAACAGCAGAAGGUCACCAACAGGUCUUCAAUGCAGCGAGAAAUUCCUGCACCUUGAGGUGUCAUUCAGCUGGCCACUAAACAAAUAUAUACUAGUUCAGUGAUAAUGAACUCUUGAAUACCUUCUUCAAUGAAAAUCACGAAAUUUUACACCUGUGAAAAUAACCAGCUAUAUGGUAGUGCUCUAUUCCUAUUUGAAACAAGUUUUAAUAUAUAUUUAUACACAA